rnacentral:rRNA from 1 species
CCUGGCUCAGGACGAACGCUGGCGGCGUGCGUAACACAUGCAAGUCGAACGCAGAAGCCCAGCUUGCUGGGUGGAUGAGUGGCGAACGGGUGAGUAACACAUGAGUAACCUGACCCCUUCUUUGGGAUAACGCCCGGAAACGGGUGCUAAUACUGGAUAUUCACUGAUCUUCGCAUGGGGGUUGGUGGAGAGGUUUUUUCUGGUGGGAGAUGGGCUCGCGGCCUAUCAGCUUGUUGGUGGGGUGAUGGCCUACCAAGGCUUUGACGGGUAGCCGGCCUGAGAGGGUGACCGGUCACAUUGGGACUGAGACACGGCCCAAACUCCUACGG